rnacentral:rRNA from 1 species
CAAACGACUCUCGGCAACGGAUAUCUCGGCUCUCGCAUCGAUGAAGAACGUAGCGAAAUGCGAUACUUGGUGUGAAUUGCAAAAUCCCGUGAACCAUCGAGUCUUUGAACGCAAGUUGCGCCCGAAGCCUUUAGGCCGAGGGCACGUCUGCCUGGGCGUCACGC